rnacentral:rRNA from 1 species
GAUGAACGCUGGCGGCGUGCUUAACACAUGCAAGUCGAGCGAAGCACUUAGGAAAGAUUCUUCGGAUGAUUUCCUUUGUGACUGAGCGGCGGACGGGUGAGUAACGCGUGGGUAACCUGCCUCAUACAGGGGGAUAACAGUUAGAAAUGACUGCUAAUACCGCAUAAGACCACGGUACCGCAUGGUACAGUGGUAAAAACUCCGGUGGUAUGAGAUGGACCCGCGUCUGAUUAGGUAGUUGGUGGGGUAACGGCCUACCAAGCCGACGAUCAGUAGCCGACCUGAGAGGGUGACCGGCCACAUUGGGACUGAGACACGGCCCAGACUCCUACGGGAGGCAGCAGUGGGGAAUAUUGCACAAUGGAGGAAACUCUGAUGCAGCGACGCCGCGUGAAGGAUGAAGUAUUUCGGUAUGUAAACUUCUAUCAGCAGGGAAGAAAAUGACGGUA